rnacentral:rRNA from 1 species
CCUACGGGAGACAGCAGUAGGGAAUAUUGCUCAAUGGGGGAAACCCUGAAGCAGCAACGCCGCGUGGGGGAUGAAGGUUUUCUGAUUGUAAACUCCUUUUUUUAGAGAAGAUAAUGACGGUAUCUAACGAAUUAGCAGCGUAUAACUCCGUGCCAGCAGCCGCAGUAACACGGAGGGUGCAAGCGUUACUCGGAAUCACUGGGCGUAAAGAGCGAGUAUGCGGGAUAGCAAGUCAGAUGUGAAAUCCUAUGGCUUAACCCUAGAACUGCAUUUGAAACUGGUAUUCUAGAGUAUGGGAGAGGUAGGUGGAAUUCUUGGUGUAGGGGUAAAAUCCGUAGAGAUCAAGAAGAAUACUCAUUGCGAAGGCGGCAUGCUAGAACAUAACUGACGCUGAUGCGCGAAAGCGUGGGGAGCGAACAGGAUUAGAUACCCGUGUAGUC